rnacentral:rRNA from 1 species
GCAGUAGCCGCGGGAAUACGAAGGGGGCUAGCGUUGCUCGGAAUGACUGGGCGUAAAGGGCGCGUAGGCGGAUUGUUUAGUUAGGCGUGAAAUUCCUGGGCUUAACCUGGGGACUGCGCUUAAUACAGGCAGUCUAGAGUGAGGAAGAGGGUUGUGGAAUUCCCAGUGUAGAGGUGAAAUUCGUAGAUAUUGGGAAGAACACCGGUGGCGAAGGCGGCAACCUGGUCCUUGACUGACGCUGAGGCGCGAAAGCGUGGGGAGCAAACAGGAUUAGAUACCCCGGUUGUCCCUGUCUCUUAUAC